rnacentral:lncRNA from 10 species
GGCCACAGAGGCAGCUUCUCCGGGGCCGCUUGGCUCUGAGGAGUGGGGUGACCAGAAGAUUCUGGGUCUACUGGAUUUUGAAAAAAGGCAGACAGCAGAGUGAGACGGAGACAGUCUGGAGAGCCAGCCAGCAGAACUCUGCACAGCUGUAUUCUCCACCUCCCACCUUGCGCCCUGCUGUCCCCGGGGUCGUGGACCAGCAGAGGGUGGGCAGGAGACCGCAUUCACAGUGUGGCUCCUCACUGUCAUCCCAGAGUCUCCCCUCACGAGCACCCCGGCUGCAGGGUGUAACCUGAGGCCCUAGCAGGGCCCAUGGAGCUUCUGCUGCUUUUCCCCGGGGGCCCUGAUGUGACAUUUCUCGUCCAGGAAGAGGAUGGAAGGUGAGGUCCCUCUCCACACUGCACCUGCCACCCUGGGGCUCCCCACCCACCUGCGCAGGAGGGAGGAGCAGGGGACACCCUUGGGAGGGCGUUUCCUUUAAAAACAUCAGACCACGAACCAGGGCCCAAUGGGGCGGCCCAGAGGCAGUGGAAGGGAAAGCGGAGCUCGAUCUGGGUUUCGGCCCCAGCAAGUCCCCUCCCCCGGUUGACCCAAAUUUCCCACUAUAAAGUGAAGGCGGGAGCUGGACUCCAGCUCGCGGAGGAAAUCCGGCCGCCGCGCAGCGGGCUGAGGUGGAAGGUGUCAUCGGUCAUCCUCGUCAUCUUGAUAUUCACCUGGGACCCUUGUGGGAACCUCUUUCCCUAGUUUGCCACCAGCUCUGCCUCUCCCUCACCCACCUGUGACCCAAGCACAUUCUCGUGACCUCUCUGAGCCUCAGUUUCCUUAUCUGUCAAGUCGAGAUCACAGCACUGACCUCCAGGGCUCACUGGGAAGCGGGGAUGAGGUGGUGCGCAUUGCAGUGACUGGCACCGGCUGUGAGCUCAGAACACGGCGGCUGGAGCUAUCCGCCAGCAACUCUUAAGCCAAAGCCCUCACCGGGCUGCCUGCCAGCUGUCAGAGACCAAGCUCCAGGUGACCCCUCCACCGAGAGCAGUUCCCCCUUCCCCCUUCUGAGCGCCAGGCAGGUCCACAGCCGCCCUGCUCCGGAGUGGGUCCCAGGUGGCAGGCGGGGGUAGAGAGGAUUCAGGGUGCUGCCUUCUGUCCUUCACACCCUGCAAGGGGCCCCUUCCAAUCAGAAGCUGUUUCCAUGGCAACCCUGCUGGGCCCCAUCCUCCCCUUUGCAGCCAAAGACUCCACCUCGGGCCGGCCUCGCCACUGUCCCUCCUUGAAGGCAUGAUUGGUCUCUUCUCCCCUAUGAUAAAUUGAGCCACGCAGAGGAGAGGUAACUCCCUCCUGUCCUCAGAGUGUCCCGAAGACCCUCCUUUGCCUGGUGAGUGACAUACUAGAGCCCGCACGGUGACAGCUCAGGUAUGUGGCACCCCUCGGACCCACCCCUCCCUGGGUGGAGUGGCCCAGCUGUGGUGGGCACUUCCUCACCCAGCCGUGGGCACAGGCCAGACCCUGAGCCCAGCGGCCCUGUAAUUUCAGAUGUAGCUGGGCAUGUGUGUGUUAUUGGGUGAUACUUAAAUCCUAACCUUUUCAAAAGCAAACCCAAGUAAGCACAUAUUGGAGAACCAUAAUUCCAAGCUUGGAGGCCUCCCUCAAGGCGAUGGGGAGUGUGGCAUCGUGACCGCUAACCCGGUCCCUCCGCGGCCUUGGGUUUAAAAGCGUCUGUGUCCAGCCGGGAGGUGAACUCCUGACAGCAACGCCCGUCCAGCCCACACCUCUGCCUGGCAGUGUGCAGCAGGACCCCUGAAGCCCAAGUCGAGAGCAGCGCCUGGUCUCCACCCGAGACUGGGUGGCGGAGAAGCGCUGCCUCUGACCUCAGUGAGCAUGGAGAGGCGGUGACAGGUUUGGACAGUAGAGAUUUCAGCAAUUUCUGGAAGGUCUGAACAGGACCUGCCUCGGAAGCAGAAUCGGAUUCCGCUGACUGGGACAACGUCACGUGACAGCGAGUCCAGCGCCCGGGGCCUGGGAGAACAAAGGCGGCUGACCCGUCACAGGAGCUGCACGGCAAUGCAUCUGAGACCAUGCGGUGUCACCUUCACAGAAGUGCUCUGGCACAGAGACUCCAGCCUUGCCGGCCUCUCGCCUCCCAAGCACAGAAGCCUCCAGAACGCUGCUUCAAGGACAAGCCCAGGAGACCUGCCAUGCUCAUGCGUGUCUUUGGAAACAGGUUCUCUAAAUUUUGCUUGUGGUUUGUUAAAAAAAAAAAAAAAAUCAGAAGUGUAAUCAAAGACUUCAACAAACGAAGCACCAAAACACUUCAGCUUUGAAAUGUAGAAUUGCAAUGACUGGAAACACGGCUCGCAAAGCAAAAGACAUUAAAAUUCAGUCAUCCCUACAGAAGCCGGACAGGAAUUGAUCACAUCCACUAGUGAAGGCUCAGAAAGUGACAAGAUUUCAUUUGGAAAUCGUACCUGUGUCCUUGGGAACAUCCUGAACCUUGGGAAGCAUCAGCUCAUGGAGUUCCUAUUAACUGGAUAAAUUUAUAUUCUAGAUUGAAAUGGAAUGGAAUUAAGUAGGCCCACGGUUUUGCAGCACGUACAUUUGAAGAAUCAUUAAAAAUCAUCAUAGAAACAAUUUAUUUGACGAGAUUUGUCUUGUACAAAUAUUUGUUAAAUAUUUGUACUCCGAACGGAGGCCAAAAGACAGCACCUGUGGGAAACUUUAGGCUGAAAUAUUUACACAUUUCAACGCAAAAUGUCAGAACUGAGAAUCUGCCGUGUGCUCACAAGGUACCCCAACCCUGCAGAGAGAGACAAUUUUCUUGAUCCAAAUGUCAUCAUCUACCCAGAAGUGUCCAUGGACAGCACAGAUUCACAUUCUGGGGCCGUUAAAAUGUGAAUGUGAGCUAUCAAUGGACACUUCUGGGUAGAUCAUGACCUUUGGAUUAAUUAAGAUUGAUCCAGGCCCGGCGCAGUGGCUCAUGCCUGUAAUCCCAACACUUUGGGAGGCCGAGGUGGGCAUAUCACUAGAGGUCGGGAGUUCGAGUCCAGCCUGGCCAAUUUGGUAAAAACUGUCUCUACUGAAAAUACAAAAAUUAGCUGGGCACGGUGGCAGGUGCCUUUAAUCCCAGCUGCUUGGGAGGCUGAGGCAUGAGAAUCGCUUGAACCCAGGAGGAAGAGGUUGCCGUGAGCCAAGAUUGCGCCACUGCACUCUAGCCUGGGUGACAGAGUGAGACUCCAUCUCAAAACAAACAAACAAACAAACAACCCAAAAAAUUAGC